CCAGAGCAAUUUAGUUGAACAGCCCUGUAUUAACGUCUUAAAACAAACUGCUUUAAAGCCAGCAUUGACCUUACACUAAAUCUCCUAUAAUGUAUUUUGAUUAUUCUGUGAAUUCCCCGUCGGAAUUGAAGACAACUCAGCUUGGAGGAAGGCUGCUCCAUACUUGGGACCUGGACCAAGAGGAGACAGUAUUCCAGAAGGUGACCCAGUUGGAAAGUGGCAGUUUGGACCAGGGAUUGAAGGCAGAGCAGAUUUGAUCAAGAAAAAUGACCUGUGGCUGCAGACAGACUCAGUAUGUUACUGGAUGUGGAGGAUGUCAGGCCAUAAUUCCAUCUGGACCAAACCAAAAAACUACAAAUGUUUGUGUUCAUUUGAUGUAGUUAAUAAUAAAGUUUGUGCAUGUGUUGUUUAAAAA